GACAGAUUCAGAUUACCUUGCAAACAAUCUAAUUUACUCACCACUGCCUCGUCAAAUAUUUGAAACAAAGAUGGACAUGUUUUAAGGCAUUCAGUCAUCUCACAUUGUUCCCACAAACCAUGAAUAAAUUGCGAGUAAUAAAUCAAAUGGUAAACAUAAUCGUCACAAGUAGGUAUUUGAAAAGAUUCACAUGGUUCACAGAGUUGCAUAAUCAUACCAUGCAUUAAUCGACGGUCUAUAGAUUCACUCACACAUGCAUUAUCAAAAACAAGAAUCUUUUUAUCAACCAUCAAAACAGAUAGAAUAAAUAAAAUAGGACAGUCAAGCACGUUUCGAUCUAAGUGUUCAUCAACACGAUCUUUAUCACUAUCCGAGGAGUACAAAAGUGUUUCAAAGGUUUCAAGCAUCUUACCUCGAUAAGCAAAAGAAUAAGGGUCGAUUUUACCUUUUUCAUUUAAAACAAACCUUCGCUCAUCGGGGGCAUAGUGUAGUCGAAUCUUCGUUGUUGAGUUAACGUUUGUCAAAUGGAACUCAAACUUCAUGUACAACCACAUAAACUGUUUAAGACACGGAUAUAAAUUGAAAACAAAUUUGGAAAAUUUCGUUACCUUAUUCUCCAAAACAGAUUUGGACAAAUUCGAGGAUUUUACACAAGGUAAAUCAAGAGAAUAACAAAUCACGCUUCUUUUCGUAAGGACUUUAUCAACCACAAUCGAAGAGUAACAAUUAAUCGGAUCAAAAUGAGGGGAUCUUUUAAGAACUAAGUCACCAAAAGUUUUAUCAAUAAUUUUCAAAUCUGCACUGGACUCGGUUUCUAAAAUUUCCUUACCUCGCUUACCUUCGGGAUCAUGUAGUGUGAUUUCAUCUUUGCCUAAGUUGAUCGUAUGAAAGCGUCUUUCAUUUGAGAGGUAUUGAAGUUGAAAGUUAUCUUUCGAUCUUUCGGGAACCUGAAAAGUAGCAACACAAGAAAAAUUCAUAUCUUGGUUAGUGGAAACAUUCCUCACUAGCCUUUCCUCGUCUUUUUCUUUUGUUUCUUUUUCUAACUCAUUUUCUCUUCUUUCUUCAACUUCUUUUUCAAUUUUCUUUUUUGUUUCACAUUCCUUUUCACUCUCAAUCUCUUUUUGCUCUUUUUCAUUCUUUUUUUCUUUUUCCUCACUUGUUUUAACAACAGAAUUUUUCAGUUUGAUUUGGUUCUCAUGGACUUGUUCCGGAGUGAGCGGCACUAAGGUGAUUUUCCUUCCUUGAUACUUGAAAGAAUACCUAUUGGUACGACCAUCGUGAGUGACUUUUCGAUCCAGUUGCCAUGGUUCUCCUAGCAACAAAUGGCAGGCUUGAAUAGGUACUACGUCGCACACGACUUCGUCUUGAUAUUUACCGAUAGAAAAGGCGAUGCGCACUUGUUGAGUGACGUUAAAUUGGCUUUCGUUGCUAAGCCCUUGUAGUUGAUAAGGUCGUGGAUGCUUGGUAGUGCUUAAGCAAAGCUUUUACACCAUCGUCGUGCUGGCUACGUUCGAGCAACUUUCACCAUCAAUAAUAACUCUACAAAGCUUACCUUGUACAUGGCAGCGAGUAUGAAAGAGAUGUUCUCGUUGCUGCUCGCUCUUUGGUUUUGCCAAAGAAGGUUGUCCACGAUCAUGAAAAUCAUCAUCCAUUUUAGGGACACGUUGAGGGUUGCACCUAUGGGGCUGGUUAUCCCUAUCUUCCUUAAUUGGAUCUCGAUAUUGAUGUUUUUGAUUCAUUCGCACCUUAUUGAUAGUAGCAGUCAAAGCUCGAAGAGCAGCAGCCUGUUCAUCCAACUGUUGUUGGAAUUUUUUAAAUAUGUCACUAUUAUUAUCACCUGUAGACAUUUUUUUUAAAACCUGUAAAACACUCAACACUCAAAAAUAAAAGUUAUCAAACCUCACCGUUAAUCACUCAAAAAGAAAAAAAUCAAAUUCUCAAUGAGGUCGAAUUCAAUCUUGUGAGUUCUUUAUCAGAGUUUAUAUCAACCAAUUAGAGAGUGUGAACCAAACUACCAAAGAAUCCUAAUUUGCACUAGGAUGCCAAAAACUGACGAGACACCAAGUGAUUCAUGUUGCACCGAGGAAGAAGUUGUGCCCACGUUUAAAUCCUACUAACACAAGAAACAAGAAGGUGUUAGAUAACGUAAAGGAAGAAUAAAGGGAAACAAAUGAAAACCUACAGCUAAGAAUCAAUAAAAAUUGCUGAAAACAGAAAACCCGAAAAACUGCUGAGUAACUUGACAACUUCGUUCGAGGUGUUCCCGAUCUCCAAAAAUCACGAAAUUAAAUCUGGAGUGUCCUUAUAUAUUUAAUUUUUGAUCUGGAAAUUUUGGGCACCACAUUCAACCCUCUGAAUCUUUUUUUAAAUUUUUAUUGAAUUUCGUCUUUUUUAAUUUUUUUGACUUUUUUGACUGAUUUUUUUGCUGGAAUAAUUUUUUUAUAUUCAAUCACAGUGCCAAAAACAUGUUUGUAAAAUUUCAGAUCAAUAGGACAACGUUUACCCACUCAAAUGAAUUUUUUUUUGAACAAUUUUUCUGGGUAAAACUGCUGUUUAUGCUUUAAAAAAUAGAGAUCAGUUUAGAAAUCAACCAAGAACACCCAAAACGCCCAAAAUCUGAUACCAAAUGAUACGGGGUUGCGCGCGGACCAAGAUCGAAUUGCCAAGUCACGAGAAAUUCCUACGAAAACCCUAAACAAUUAGAUCUGAAACGAAACAGAAAAUUAAAAGAUUAGAUUUUUGAAUUUUCAGAUCUGAAAUAAAAUCCCCAAAUCAGCAAAGAAUCAAAUUGAGAAUAGAAAUAAGUGUUAGGGUUCUUGAAACCCUCAAGGAGAUUGUGAUUCUGCCCAAUUGAACACCAAGAUAGUUUUCCCCAAAUUUCGACAAUUUAAUUUCACCCAAAAAGAGUAUGGAAAAACCCUAGAAAUUGGGGAUUUUUGGGCUGAUUCCUUAAGAUAGAAAAAGGCUAAAAACACAAUAAGAACAGAAAAUAGAUUAGAUAAUGAUUCAGCACAAGUAGAAAUAAAGAAAGAAUUGACAGUAAGAAAUUAAAAGAUAAGUCCUAAGAAGCCUUGAAAUCUCGAAAGAUCUCACAACUCCCUUCAAACGGCUCUAAUCUCCCCUCCAAAGAAUAUCAAUGGCAAGAAGAAGGUUGAAGAUGGCUCCCACAAUCACAAGAUUGUUAAAACAACUUCUAAAGAAAACUCAAGAGAGAAAUCUUGGAGAAAACUCAAAGAAAAUUCUGCUCUCAACAAAUCUGAAAUUUUAAUAAUAAUGAUAAGUGUUUAACAAGGUGGACAGCCAUGCCUUUAAAUAGGCCUUAUAACUAGUCCUAAUCUAAUUAGAAAACUAAAAUAAAAAAACUCCUAAUUAUUUUAAUAUGGAAAUUCGGUCAAAGGUCAUUUUAUCUGGGACUCUUGGACUGAAUAUUGACAUAAAAAUUUAAACUAAGUAAAUAAAUAAAUAAAAAUAAAAAUAAAACUUUACAACUUGGGCCACUUUGACAAUUUGGCCUGAUUUUCAACUAAGUAUGGAUGGAUUUCUUGAUUGGGCUGGGAAUUUGCUUAUUGGGCCUCGCCUUCAAGAAUUUGGGCUUUUGUGACUCGUAUCAGAGGUGGAUUUCGUCCCAUAAGAAACGUUGGAGGUGGAGUGUCGGAUCUCACCUUACAAGCUAUUAUGCGAGAAAUGGAGCGAUUGUUUGAUCGUAAGCUUGAACCAAUCGAAGACCGCUUAUAUCAAGUCGAACUCCGAGAUCAACGCGAAGCGACUCCGGAAGCUACAAGGCAAGAACGAGAGCGGCCAAUUGACAACUUUGAUGAGGUAGGUGAUUCUGAAAGUGAUCACUUGUCGAAUCGAAACCGCCCACAACGAGCCCAACAAAAUCGGGUCCCAAGAAAUCGAGAUCGUCCAGAUGAUAAUCUCAAAAAUAUCAAGAUGUCUAUUCCACCGUUUCAAGGAAAGAAUGAUCCCGAAUCUUACUUGGAGUGGGAAAAGAAAAUGGAACUCGUCUUCGAGUGCCAUAACUAUUCAGAAAAUAAGAAGGUAAAGCUCGCUGCCAUUGAAUUCUCGGAUUAUGCGAUUGUAUGGUGGGAUCAAUUGGUGACUAGCCGAAGGAGGAAUGGGGAGAGGCCUAUCUCUACGUGGGCCGAAAUGAAGGCUGUUAUGCGCAAGCGGUUUGUUCCCUCCUAUUACCAUCGAGAGUUGUACCAACGAUUGCAAAAUCUCACGCAAGGCAACCGAAGCGUCGAGGACUACUAUAAAGAAAUGGAAAUUGCUAUGAUAAGAGCCGACGUAGAGGAGGAUCAUGAAGCAACAAUGGCAAGGUUUCUAGCCGGCCUAAAUCGGGAUAUUGCUAAUAUUGUCGAACUUCAACACUACGUUGAAGUUAUGGACAUGGUGCAUAUGGCAAUAAAAGUUGAAAAACAAUUGAAACGGAAAGGACCCACCCGAACACACCCAACGACUUCUACCAACAUGAUGCGAUCUCGGUCGCAUCAUGUUACGACACAACUCGAUGCUACCGAGAUUGGUCCAAACUCGAGGGGCCCAAGUGCAAAAUGAAGUUUUUUUUAAUUUUAGUUUGUCAAUUUGGCUGCAGGAAAAUAAGGACUUUGGUUCAUUAAUUUUUAGUUAUUUUAGUUUGUGUUUUUAAUUAUGUCAUAGUUUGCACAUCAUUAAUAUGUGUUCUGCAUUUAAUAAAGUCAUGCAUUAUGUAACUUUCAUGUUAGUUAAGUUUGCAUCAUUAAAUUAAGUCAAGUUAGUUUAAUUAUGUAACUUUCAUGUUAGUUAAAUUUGCAUUUCAAAACCAUGCAUUUAAGCAUCUUAGUUUAAUAAAUGAGUUGCUGGACAUUUAUUCAACUCAUCUUAGUUUUAAUUAAUAAGUGUUUUUGUUGAACUUUAUUUAAUAAGUGUUGUUCUUAAUUGAUCUAGUUCCUAGGAUUAUUUAUUGAUGCAUAAAUUAAGUUUUUUUUUAAAAUUAUGCUUCUUUAAUUAAACUAGUUGCUGGAAUUAUUAUUGCACAUAUGUUUUAGUUCAUUUAUUUAAGUAAGUUUAAUGUUUGUCAUGAUUAAUAAGUGUUUUCAUUUGUUUAAUAAACUCAUUUUAAUAUGUUUAUUGCAGGUGACUUUUUAGCUUAUAGUGGUUACAAUUCAAGGCUGUUACACAUUUAAUUAAGUGGUUGUUUAAGUUCUUUUGAGUUACAAUUAAAAGGGCUGUUAUAAAGGGAGCUUAAAAAUCAUUAAAGGAGUUUUUAAAGAGCAUUUUAUGCCCUUUAAAAUUCAGCAGCAGCUCUUCCACUUCCAGCCGUUUUUGGAGCUUUCAAGAGAAAUUAAUCAAGCCUUUGAAUGUCAUUAAGGAGCAGGUUAAGAGAUGGUGACUAUUCAACUAGCCAAGGACAACUCAAGAGUCAUUUUCUAAGCCAUUAAAGACAUUCAAAUCAGCUGAAUUAAAGUGAUUUUAUGGAAGGAGUUAUUUGGUUCAAAGAAUAAGAAAAGACAUCAGUUUUUUUUAUGGCACAUUAAGUGGAUGUUUUUGACCAUUCGGUUACCUUGUUCUAGCAUUAUAAAUAGAUGUAAUCAGCCAUAGAGGGGAGAACUUUUUGAUGAAUAUAGAUGAAAUAUUUGAAUUGUGAGCUAUCCAAUUCUCUUUGUUCUUACGGAAUUGAUUUGACUUAUCAAGCUUAGCUUGUGGCGUCUAUCCAUUUCUUGUUUUCGAACUUAUCACUUUCAUAGUGUGGCGUUCAUCAUAUACCAAGAUUCCUAUCAUUCUUGAUAGUGGGUCAAGGUCUUUUCUUUGUUGUUUUCCUAUACUAUCAUUGACCUAAAAGCUACUUUGAGACUCGGGUCAACAACCUCUAUUGUUGGUUCAUUCUCUGCCCUUAGCCAAAUUUUUCCAUUCGUUGUUAAACCCAUUUCCCUUUUAAACAUUUGUUUGUAGCCUUUCUUCUAUUUUGAAACAAACUUAACCUUACUCAAAUUCAUGAUCGAGCAAACACUAAUGACUCGAAUCAAUCACAAAACGAGUUCGUAUCAAAUUGGUAUCAGAGCUAGCGAAUUUGGAGUAAGAAUCGACAUUGUCAGCAAUACGGUAUAGUAAUUUUUUCAAAAAAAUUCAAAAAAAAAUUCAAAAAAAAAAUUUUGGUUUCUAUUCAAACUCAAGAGAUUAGAUAUCAAGUUGAAAAAAAAUUCGUGAAAAAAAAAUUCGUGAAAAAAAAAAUUUCGUGAAAAAAAAGAAGAAGCUAGUUUUGAAAUUUUGUUGUUGUUUGCUGCCCAAAUUAUAGUUAUUACUACCUUCUACUAUUUCGCCACAUCCAAUCUUUCAUUUCUUGAUUCAAGCCUACUUUCCUUUGUCCUACAAUAUUCUUACCAAGCCCAAACAUCAAGGUUGUAAGCCGACCCACAACAACUGCUUUUUAAGUUUAAAUAAUUCCUAAGAACUUAGAGAGGAGGAGUGAGUGGAAAGAGGCAAGAGAGUGGUGAGUUUAUUCGAGAGUAUAAAAGCAAAGUGUGUGAGAUUUCUUUGUGAGUGGAUAGUGAGAUUCUUUGUUGUGAGUUCUUAAAAAAAUGUCACGAAGUCUGGAAAAAAAUUCAGACAAGGGAGUUGGAUUCCGUCCUGUAAGAAUUGUUGGAGGAAGUGUGCCAGAUUUUACACUCCAAGCCUUUACGCAUGAAAUGGAGCAUCUAUUUGAUCGAAAACUCAAACCCAUCAAGAAACGAUUGGAUCGUGUUGAAGAGCGGAGUCAUCGAGCAAGAACCCAACGGGAGCAAAUUUAUCCAAAUGAAAGGGCGGAAAUGAGAUCAUCAAGGAGACGAACAUUCAACGAAUAUGUGAAAAGAGACCUUUAUCCAGAUUCCUAUUCUUCAAGGAAUUUAGGCCAAAAUAAAUCCAGCUAUGAGUUUGAAGCCUAUCAAGGUAACGAACGAGAAAGUACAAGUCAUUCUUCGUAUGCAUCAAAGUAUUCAUCUACGGAAAAAUCCUUACGAAGAAGUGAAUGUGUUUCGUAUAAGAACUCAUCCAUAGAGGUUUAUUCACGAAGAGUUGAUCGUGACUCUUAUGAAGAUUCUUCCAUUUCUUUCCAACGAAAAGUCUAUUAUUCUGAUUCUUUUGUAUUAUCUCCAUUUUGUAAUAAAGUUGAGAGAAGAAAAAGAGAGACGAGAGAAAAAGAAACCGAAAAAGAAACGAAAAUUAAAAAAGAGAAAAAGAUUGGAGAAAGAAAAGAAAGAGUGCGAGAAACAAGUGUUGUUGAAAAUGAAAGAGAAUUGAUGAGUGAAAGUGAGUUUUCAACAAUCAAAGAGAUUGUGGAAAAAGAAAGAGAAGUUGAAAAAGAAACGAGUGGAAAAGAUGAAAGUCAACAAGAAAAAGCGAGGAAUGUUUUUACUAACCAAUCUGCAAGUUGUCCUCAUAUUGUUUCUUCUUUCCAGGUUUCUAGAGAUUCAAAUGACAAGUUUCAACUUCAUUACUGUAACACCCCGAACCCGAGACCGACACCGGAGUCGAACACGAGGUGUUAACAGACUUUAAACCCCUUAUAAAAAAAAUUUCCAGACACUGCCAAUCUGCGUACUAGUCGCUUUAAAAAUCAUAUCUUGAGUUUCACAACUCGAAAAUCAGUUUCGUGAUUUUUCCCUGAAACUAGACUCAUAUUCCCAUCUACAUAUUUUUUUCUAGAAUUUUUGGUCGGGCCAAUUAGUACAGUUUAUUAGUCAAAGUCGCCCAUGUUACAGGGAUCGACUACACUGACCUUUGCGCAAUACGACUUGGAUAUCUCCCUGCACAGAGCUUCAAUACUGAUGUCGCUUGUUUCUAUAGAAACUAUACUCAGAGAGGAAUCUAUAUAUAUAUGGCAUGACUUCUAAUUAUCUCUGGUUAAUUUAUAAUGAAUUUCCAAAGUCGGAACAGGGAAUCCAGAAACCGUUCUGGCCCUGUCUCACGAGAACCUGAAUAUCUCUCAACAUACUGUCCAUAUGAUCGUUUCGUUACUUUCCUAUGAAAAUAGAUUCAUCAAGGUUAGUUUACAUAAUUUAUUCACUAUUUAAUUUCAUUCCUGCUAUUUUUAGUGAUUUUCCAAAUCUACAUCACUGCUGCUGUCAGCAUCUGCCUUUAAGGUAGACUUUACCUAUUUCAUAGUUUCCAUGAUUCAACUAGCCCUUUUAGCAUAAAUAGCACAAUUUAUGAUAGUGAUUAACCAUUCCCAUGGCCAAUCCUUGUCAAGCAUAUCCACACCAAAUGAUUAUAACAUUAUACUCAAACAUAUAUAAGCCAUUUUCGCAUGGCUAACCAAAAUUAUACAAGUCCAAAGGGUCCAUGACCCACAACAAACGGGUAGUCCUAUACAUGCCAUUUCGAAGUUCAACCAAAAUUGUACCAAAAGGGGGCUUUGAUAGUGUGGGCGACUUUGACUUCAAGAUCCCGAGUCUGAUAGCUGGAGAACCAAAUCUAUAAAACAGAGGAGCAAUGAAACGGAGUAAGCAAUUUAUGCUUAGUAAGUUUUGAGCAAGGAAUUCCAGCACAACAAAAGUAUAGCAUUCAUAUAGCUAAACGGAUAAUUUCAUAUGCAUAAAUUUUUGAUAUCAUACUUGCUUCACAUUACCAACCCUUAUGUAAAUACAGAAAAGAUCAACUUAGCCAAAGGCCGGUAGCUCGUUUAUCAACUGAGCGAAUACUUAUUUGUAAGGGCUCAACUAAAUUCAAGCACAUACGAAACAUACCUCAAUGUUGGGAUGUUUCUAGAGUAUUAACUGAAAUUUUUUUACAGCAAGAUCAUUCAUUCCCAAAUCACGUACCUUCGGAAUUUAACCGGAUAUAGCUCCUCGUUCAAAUGCCUUCGGGACAUAGCCCGGUUAUAGUAACUCGUACAAAUGCCUUCGGGACUUAACCCGGAUUUAGUAACUCGCACAAUUGCCUUCGGGACUUAACCCGGAUUUAGUAACUCGCACCAAUGCCUUCGGGCUUAGCUCAGAAUUAGUAUCUCGCACAAAUACCUUCGGAUCUUAGUCCGGAUAUGGUCACUUAGCACAAAGCCUUCGGGACUUAGCCCGGACAUCAUUCAAAUAACCAUGCACAUUUAACAAUAAAUCAUGGCACAUUCGUAUUUCAUUUUCGUUAGCAAAACUCAAACACAAGACACUUAUCAUUCUUGUAAUUUCGGCUCAAUAGCCACACACAAAGAGCAUGAUUUUGAUUUGCUUAAAACAUGAUCUAAUCAAAUCUUAAUUUAAGCUCUCUUACUCAAGAACUUACCUCGGAUGUUGUCGAACGAUUCCGAUGGCUAUUCGACCACUUUUUCCUUUCCUUUAUCGAAUUUAGUUCCCCUUUGCUCUUGAGCUUAAUUAAACAAAUAAAUUGAUUUAAUCAUUUGAGUAUCGAAAAGAGGAACGCAAGGCACUUAGCCCAUUAUUAUGCAUUAGACAUUAAAGUCGCAUAUGUACGAAAUAAUGAAUCAAACUCAACAUUUUAGCUAAUUUUCCCCCUUGGCCGAAUUUUCUAAGCCAAGACAAAAGCAUCAAUAUGCUUGCCUCCAACCGAAUACAUGCAACACCAAAUCUUCUUCCUAUGGCCGAAUAUGCAUGUCUAUGUUGGGGCCGAUUAUAUGCUUAAUACUUCCUACAAGUAUGGUUACUUGUAUUGAUUACAAAUAUCAUCUUGUUUCAAGUUCAAAACUUGGCUAAUACACACAUAUAUACACUAGUAAAGCAUCCUCUCCCUUUCCAUCAAUUUAACACAUGCAUUGCUCAUUAACAUACAAGAGUUAUAUUCGGCCUUAGCACACAACUUGCUAGCCGAUUCUUCCUCAUCUAGCAACCAAUGCACAUAUGUGCUCACUCAAAAAUGCUAAAAAGGAGAUUCAAGAAUCAUCAAUCCACCAUCACAUGCAUCAUUAACAAGCUUCAUAUUUAGCAUGCAAUGGCAUUAACACAAAAUCCACCUAGGCCGAAUAUCAUCCCCAUGACAUAGCAAGGAUUUGAACCAUGGGAUAAUUAGAACUCAAGCUAGCAACUAAAAACAUGCAUGAAUCUCAUGGCACAACCUCAAACAUACCUUAAUCUAGAUACAAGUAUGGUCAAACCUCCUCCUAAUCCUCUUCCAAAUCAAACAUGAAGCAAGAACUCCUUCCUCCUUCCUUAGGAUUUUCGGCCAAAUGAAGAUGAAAAAGGAUGAACAAAAUUUUCUCCUUUCUUUUCUUUAACUCACGGCAAUGGGGGGGAAGACAACCACACACAUUUUUUUUUGUUUCCAUCAUAUUCCCUUUCAUUAUUUUAUGCCCAUGCUCCUUAUUUUAUUUUUCCUAACAUACCUCACUAACAUAACAUGUUUGUGACAUGUUUCCACUCAUGAUGCACUAACACCACAUGUCUAUGACAUGUCUUGCCCAUCACACUUGGUCUACCAUGCUUGUCAUGGCCGGCAUCUACUCAUUAGGGGGAAAUUUGACAUGUAAGUCCCCCCUUUUUAUUUCAUGCACUAAUAGGUCCUUACGCAUUGACCUAUCACAUUUUAAAAUUUUCUCACAUAAGUCCUAUUGACUAAAUUCACAUGCAAUCGACUAAAUCGAAGCUUGAAAUUUUCACACAUUCAUAAUUACAUAUUCUAGACAAUAAAUAUCACAUUCAAAUAUUUCGGUGACUCGGUUUAGCGGUCCCGAAACCACUUCCUGACUAGGGUCAAUUUUGGGCUGUCACAAUUACCUUCCUGAUGAGAGACGAUUCCAUUUGAUCGAAAAAGGUAAGGUUCAAGCGCUUAAAGGUAAGCAAGGUAAGAAGUUUUUAGUCAGUGAAUCAUGGCAAUCAGGUUUGAAAGUUGUUGAUAAAAUUUUCGAUAACUUAGUUUUAAAAAGAUCUCCUUAUUUUGAUUUGGUUAAUUGUUACUCGCUAUUUGUGGUUGACAAAUUCGUUUUAAGUGGAGGCAUGAAGAGUUGUUCACUCAAUAAGUUUUGUGUUGAAAAAUCUUUUGAUGUUGUUCGAUUAAAUCCACAAAUACAAAAUCUGAUCAUGUUUGAUAAAGAGCUUUCAUGUGAAACACUCAAUCUGUUUGAUCGUGAUGGUAAUGAAAAUUUUUUAACUCUUAGUGUGAGAUCUUCGUAUAUUUGCAUGAGAUUUGAGAGAUUUGAUUGUUUGAAUUUAUUUUUGCCUACAUCUUCUUUAUUUGGCAUGUGUGAUGUCUUGGUGAAAGUGAAUUUUUUGUUACGUUACGGAACGACCGAUCAAAACCAUGUUUUUAAACCCGGAGCCUGUAUUCAUAAGUUACUAGCCACAAAUUUUUCUAGUCAAAUUGAAAUGGUGAACAAAAACUUUGUCUUUGAUCCUGGUGAAUGCUGUUCCAUAUCAUUGUUCAAGGGAUUUGGACCAUGGAAUUCUAAUUUUCAAAACUAUAAUCUUCAAAUACCUUAUGAAUUAGGUUUGUUUCCAUCGAAGAAAAAGGUAAAACCAAUUUCUAUUUUUGAUCCCGGUAUUGAUUCAUGUGUUGUUCUUUUGAGUUUAUUUGUUCAAGUUGUGAUUAAAAUCCUGGAAAGUUCUUUUGUGUUUAACCUUCAUUGUGUCACUAAUUUGUUUUAUUGUUUUGUAGGUGACGAUGUUAGGUGGUACCCUCCUAAAGAGGGAUGGCAUGCAAAUGACCUUCUUUCUUACCGAGCCAUUUGUGGUUCUCAGAAUUUUGAAAAUAAUUCUGUCUGGAUCAUGAACAAAGGGGGUCAUGAUCUUGAAAACUUUUUCUCGAGCAAGUGGCCCGAUUUGAGGACAAAUCAUUUUCAAGAGGGAGGGUAUGAUGCGAUCCCGGUCGCAUCAUGUUACGACACAACUCGAUGCUACCGAGAUUGGUCCAAACUCGAGGGGCCCAAGUGCAAAAUGAAGUUUUUUUUAAUUUUAGUUUGUCAAUUUGGCUGCAGGAAAAUAAGGACUUUGGUUCAUUAAUUUUUAGUUAUUUUAGUUUGUGUUUUUAAUUAUGUCAUAGUUUGCACAUCAUUAAUAUGUGUUCUGCAUUUAAUAAAGUCAUGCAUUAUGUAACUUUCAUGUUAGUUAAGUUUGCAUCAUUAAAUUAAGUCAAGUUAGUUUAAUUAUGUAACUUUCAUGUUAGUUAAAUUUGCAUUUCAAAACCAUGCAUUUAAGCAUCUUAGUUUAAUAAAUGAGUUGCUGGACAUUUAUUCAACUCAUCUUAGUUUUAAUUAAUAAGUGUUUUUUUUGAACUUUAUUUAAUAAGUGUUGUUCUUAAUUGAUCUAGUUCCUAGGAUUAUUUAUUGAUGCAUAAAUUAAGUUUUUUUUAAAUUAUGCUUCUUUAAUUAAACUAGUUGCUGGAAUUAUUAUUGCAUAUAUGUUUUAGUUCAUUUAUUUAAGUAAGUUUAAUGUUUGUCAUGAUUAAUAAGUGUUUUCAUUUGUUUAAUAAACUCAUUUUAAUAUGUUUAUUGCAGGUGACUUUUUAGCUUAUAGUGGUUACAAUUCAAGGCUGUUACACAUUUAAUUAAGUGGUUGUUCAAGUUCUUUUGAGUUACAAUUAAAGGGGCUGUUAUAAAGGGAGCUUAAAAAUCAUUAAAGGAGUUUUUAAAGAGCAUUUUAUGCCCUUUAAAAUUCAGUAGCAACUCUUCCACUUCCAGCCGUUUUUGGAGCUUUCAAGAGAAAUUAAUCAAGCCUUUGAAUGUCAUUAAGGAGCAGGUUAAGAGAUGGUGACUAUUCAACUAGCCAAGGACAACUCAAGAGUCAUUUUCUAAGCCAUUAAAGACAUUCAAAUCAGCUGAAUUAAAGUGAUUUUAUGGAAGGAGUUAUUUGGUUCAAAGAAUAAGAAAAGACAUCAGUUUUUUUUAUGGCACAUUAAGUGGAUGUUUUUGACCAUUCGGUUACCUUGUUCUAGCAUUAUAAAUAGAUGUAAUCAGCCAUAGAGGGGAGAACUUUUUGAUGAAUAUAGAUGAAAUAUUUGAAUUGUGAGCUAUCCAAUUCUCUUUGUUCUUACGGAAUUGAUUUGACUUAUCAAGCUUAGCUUGUGGCGUCUAUCCAUUUCUUGUUUUCGAACUUAUCACUUUCAUAGUGUGGCAUUCAUCAUAUACCAAGAUUCCUAUCAUUCUUGAUAGUGGGUCAAGGUCUUUUCUUUGUUGUUUUCCUAUACUGUCAUUCACCUAAGAGCUACUUUGAGACUCGGGUCAACAACCUCUAUUGUUGGUUCAUUCUCUGCCCUUAGCCAAAUUUUUCCAUUCGUUGUUAAACCCAUUUCCCUUUUAAACAUUUGUUUGUAGCCUUUCUUCUAUUUUGAAACAAACUUAGCCUUACUCAAAUUCAUGAUCGAGCAAACACUAAUGACUCGAAUCAAUCACAAAACGAGUUCGUAUCACAACAAGUGGGCUCAAGGGACUAGCAAAGCUCCUAAUCGACCUAAGGAGCAUUUUUUUGCUGCUAAAUCCAAUCAACCAAGUGGCGAAGCUAGCAAAAAUAAAAACGAGGCUGCUUCGAAUCAUUCUCGCGAUAUUAAGUGUUUCAAGUGUCAAGGAAGAGGCCACAUUGCGAGUCAAUGUCCUAAUCGACGAGUGAUGGUGGUUCGUUCAAAUGGUGAGAUUGAGUCCGAAGAUGAACAAGAAGAGGAGCGUGAAAUUCCCGUGGAGGAAGGUGAAGAGCUCGAACUGGCCGUUGAAGGAGAAUUACUCGUUGUGAAAAGGAGUUUGAAUAUCCAAGUAGCCGAGGAAGAACAACAACGAGAUAACAUAUUUCACACCCGUUGCCAUGUUCAAGGCAAGGUGUGUAGUUUGAUUAUUAACGGAGGGAGUUGCACCAAUGUCGCAAGUUCGAUGCUUGUCGAAAGACUUGGUUUAGCCACCACAAAGCAUCCAACUCCUUACAAGUUACAAUGGUUAAAUGAUGGAGGUGAACUCAAGGUGACGAAGCAAACAAAAGUGGCGUUUUCUAUAGGCAAGCACCAAGACGAGGUGAUUUGUGAUGUUGUACCAAUGCACGCAGGACAUUUGCUAUUGGGGCGUCCUUGGCAAUUUGACCGGCGAGUAGUCCACGACGGCUAUACAAACCGAUAUUCAUUCAAGCACCUUGGAAGGAAUGUUACAUUAGCUCCGCUCACACCAAAGCAGGUGCAUGAAGACCAACUCAAGAUGAAGCAAUCUAUUGAGCGAGAAAAAGAAAAAGAGAAAAACAAAAAGAGUGAAAAGAAAAAGAAAGAAAAGAAUGAUGAGAGUGAGAUAAAAAUAAGAGUGACAAAAGACAAAGAACAAGAGUGUGAAAAUGAAAAAACAAGUGUUUUUGCUAGAAAAAGAGAGAUUCAAAAGUUGAUGCUGGCGAGGCAACCCAUCUUUGUACUUAUGUACAAAGAGUGUUUAUUAGAAACUAAAGAUCUUGAAAACACUUUGCCUACUCCUGUCGUUUCUUUGUUGCAAGAAUUUGGAGAUGUUUUUCCCGAAGAAGUGCCAAAUGGCCUACCUCCCAUUCGAGGAAUCGAGCACCAACUUGACUUUGUGCCCAGAGCUGCAAUUCCAAAUAGGCCAGCAUAUAGAAGUAAUCCUGAGGAAAUGAAGGAAUUGGAAAAGCAAGUAGCCGAAUUAAUGGAGAAGGGCUACAUCCGUGAAAGCUUAAGUCCGUGCGCGGUUCCGGUAUUUUUGGCUCCUAAAAAGGAUGGAUCAUGGCGAAUGUGCAUUGACUGCCGCGCCAUCAACAAAAUUACCAUAAAAUAUCGCCAUCUAUUCCCCGCCUGGACGACAUGCUUGAUGAACUUAGUGGAGCCUAAUUAUUUUCGAAGAUCGAUUUAAAAAGUGGGUAUCAUCAAAUCAGAAUGCGGGAGGGAGACGAAUGGAAAACUGCGUUCAAAACUAAGUAUGGGUUGUAUGAAUGGUUGGUAAUGCCAUUCGGACUUACCAACGCUCCUAGUACUUUCAUGCGAAUCAUGAAUUAUGUUUUACGUUCGUUCAUUGGGAAAUUCUGUGUUGUGUAUUUUGAUGAUAUUUUAGUCUGUAGCAAAAGUUUGGAAGAUCAUAUUCAACACCUACGUGCGGUGCUUGAAGUGUUGCGAAAAGAGGUACUUUAUGCCAACUUAAAGAAAUGUUCUUUUUGCACUAAUGAAGUUGUCUUCUUAGGUUUUGUGGUAAGUGCUCGGGGUUUAGAAGUUGAUCAAGAAAAGGUUAAGGCGAUCAACAAAUGGCCGCGUCCAACUAACAUCAGCCAAGUGAGGAGUUUUCAUGGGUUGGCAAGCUUCUACCGAAGGUUUGUACCUAAUUUUAGUUCUGUAGCUGCCCCCUUGACAGGUAUAAUUAAGAAAAAUUCUCCUUUUGUAUGGACUGAUGAGCAAGAGAAUUCUUUUAAUAAGCUUAAAGAAUGUCUAACUAAUGCACCAUUGUUGUCUUUACCUGAUUUUAAUAAGACAUUUGAGAUAGAGUGUGAUGCUUCAGGUAUCGGCAUUGGCGCUACUUUGAUGCAAGACGGACGACCCGUUGCGUACUUUAGUGAAAAGCUCAAUGGAGCUACGUUGAAUUACCCAACGUAUGACAAGGAAUUGUGAUAAGGGGUUGCGCGCGGACCAAGAUCGAGUUGCCAAGUCACGAGAAACUCCUACGAAAACCCUAAACAAUUAGAUCUGAAACGAAAACAGAAAAUUAAAAGAUUAGAUUUUUGAAUUUUUAGAUCUGAAAUAAAAUCCCCAAAACAGUAAAGAAUCAAAUAAAGAAUAGAAAUAAGUGUUAGGGUUCUUGAAACCCUCAAGGAGAUUGUGAUUCUGCCCAAUUGAACACCAAGAUAGUUUUCCCCAAAUUUCGACAAUCUAAUUUCACCCAAAAAGAGUAUAGAAAAACCCUAGAAAUUGGGGAUUUUUGGGCUGAUUCCUUAAGAUAGAAAAAGGCUGAAAACACAAUAAGAACAGAAAAUAGAUUAGAUAAUGAUUCAGCACAAGUAGAAAUAAAGAAAGAAUUGACAGCAAGAAAUUAAAAGAUAAGUCCUAAGAAGCCUUGAAAUCUCGAAAGAUCUCACAACUCCCUUCAAACGGCUCUAAUCUUCCCUCCAAAGAAUAUCAAUGGCAAGAAAAAGGUUGAAGAUGGCUCCCACAAUCAAAAGAUUGUUAAAACAACUUCUAAAGAAAACUCAAGAGAGAAAUCUUGGAGAAAACUCAAAGAAAAUUCUGCUCUCAACAAAUCUGAAAUUUUAAUAAUAAUGAUAAGUGUUUAACAAGGUGGACAGCCAUGCCUUUAAAUAGGCCUUAUAACUAAUCCUAAUCUAAUUAGAAAACUAAAAAAAACUCCUAAUUAUUUUAAUAUGGAAAUUCGGUCAAAGGUCAUUUUAUCUGUGACUCUUGGACUGAAUAUUGACAUAAAAAUUUAAACUAAGUAAAUAAAUAAAUAAAAAUAAAAAUAAAACUUUACAACUUGGGCCACUUUGACAAUUUGGCCUGAUUUUCAACUAAGUAUGGAUGGAUUUCUUGAUUGGGCUGGGAAUUUGCUUAUUGGGCCUCGCCUUCAAGAAUUUGGGCUUUUGUGACUCGUAUCAUUCCCCCCUUCCUCAAAAAGAUUCAUCCUCGAAUCUGAAAAAUCAAAUGAACUCGACUUUCCUCUAUCGAACGGGACUAAUGGCAAUUGAGUCCACUGAAAAGAAUAGCCAUGAGAUAGUAAAUAGCAACGGAAACAAGCUUGUAGUCCAAUCAUAAGCAUAACAGAACAGGUAUAACGCAUGUGAAUGGACAGAUUUAGAUUACCAUGCAAACAAUCUAAUUUACUCACCACUGCCUCGUCAAAUAUUUGAAACAAAGAUGGACAUGUUUUAAGGCAUUCAGUCGUCUCACAUUGUUCCCACAAACCAUGAAUAAAUUGCGAGUAAUAAAUCAAAUGGUAAACAUAAUCGUCACAAGUAGGUAUUUGAAAAGAUUCACAUGGUUCACAGAGUUGCAUAAUCAUACCAUGCAUUAAUCGACGGUCUAUAGAUUCACUCACACAUGCAUUAUCAAAAACAAGAAUCUUUUUAUCAACCAUCAAAAUAGAUAGAUCAUCAAUAAAUAAAAUAGGACAGUCAAGCACGUUUCGAUCUAAGUGUUCAUCAACACGAUCUUUAUCACUAUCCGAGGAGUACAAAAGUGUUUCAAAGGUUUCAAGCAUCUUACCUCGAUAAGCAGAAGAAUAAGGGUCGAUUUUACCUUUUUCAUUUAAAACAAACCUUCGCUCAUCGGGGGCAUAGUGUAGUCGAAUCUUCGUUGUUGAGUUAACGUUUGUCAAAUGGAACUCAAACUUCAUGUACAACCACAUAAACUGUUUAAGGCACGAAUAUAAAUUGAAAACAAAUUUGGAAAAUUUCGUUACCUUAUUCUCCAAAACAGAUUUGGACAAAUUCGAGGAUUUUACACAAGGUAAAUCAAGAGAAUAACAAAUCACGCUUCUUUUCGUAAGGACUUUAUCAACCACAAUCGAAGAGUAACAAUUAAUCAGAUCAAAAUGAGGGGAUCUUUUAAGAACUAAGUCACCAAAAGUUUUAUCAAUAAUUUUCAAAUCUGCACUGGACUCGGUUUCUAAAUUUUCCUUACCUCGCUUACCUUCGGGAUCAUGUAGUGCGAUUUCAUCUUUGCUUAAGUUGAUCAUAUGAAAGCGUCUUUCAUUUGAGAGGUAUUGAAGUUGAAAGUUAUCUUUCGAUCUUUCGGGAACCUGAAAAGUAGCAACACAAGAAAAAUUCAUAUCUUGGUUAGUGGAAACAUUCCUCACUAGCCUUUCCUCGUCUUUUUCUUUUGUUUCUUUUUCUAACUCAUUUUCUCUUCUUUCUUCAACUUCUUUUUCAAUUUUCUUUUUUGUUUCACAUUCCUUUUCACUCUCAAUCUCUUUUUGCUCUUUUUCAUUCUCUUUUUCUUUUUCCUCACUUGUUUUAACAACAGAAUUUUUCAGUUUGAUUUGGUCCUCAUGGACUUGUUCCGGAGUGAGCGGCACUAAGGUGAUUUUCCUUCCUUGAUACUUGAAAGAAUACCUAUUGGUACGACCAUCGUGAGUGACUUCUCGAUCCAGUUGCCAUGGUUCUCCUAGCAACAAAUGGCAGGCUUGAAUAGGUACUACGUCGCACACGACUUCGUCUUGAUAUUUACCGAUAGAAAAGGCGAUGCGCACUUGUUGAGUGACCUUAAAUUGGCUUUCGUUGCUAAGCCCUUGUAGUUGAUAAGGUCGUGGAUGCUUGGUAGUGCUUAAGCAAAGCUUUUCCACCAUCAUCGUGCUGGCUACGUUCGAGCAACUUUCACCAUCAAUAAUAACUCUACAAAGCUUACCUUGUACAUGGCAGCGAGUAUGAAAGAGAUGUUCUCGUUGCUGCUCGCUCUUUGGUUUUGCCAAAGAAGGUUGCCCACGAUCAUGAAAAUCAUCAUCCAUUCUAUUGACACGUCGAGGGUCGCGCCUUUUGGGUUGGUUAUCCCUAUCUUCUUUGAUUGGAUCUCGAUAUUGAGGUUCUUGAUUCAACUGCACCUCAUUGAUGGUAGCAGUCAAAGCUCGAAGAGCAGCAGCCUGUUCAUCCAACUGUUGUUGGAAUUUUUUAAAUAUGUCACUAUUAUUAUCACCUGUAGACAUUUUUUUUAAACCUGCAAAACACUCAACACUCAAAAAUAAAAGUUAUCAAACCUCACCGUUAAUCACUCAAAAAGAAAAAAUCAAAUUCUCAAUGAGGUCGAAUUCAAUCUUGUGAUUUCUUUAUCAGAGUUUAUAUCAACCAAUUAGAGAAUGUGAACCAAACUACCAAAGAAUCCUAAUUUGCACUAGGAUGCCAAAAACUGACGAGACACCAAGUGAUUCGUGUUGCACCGAGGAAGGAGUUGUGCACACGUGUAAAUCCUACUAACACAAGAAACAAGAAGAUGUUAGAUAACGUAACAGAAGAAUAAAAAGCAAACAAAUGAAAACCUACAGCUAAGAAUCAAUAAAAAUUGCUAAAACCAGAAAACCCGAAAAACUGCGGUGUAACUUGACAACUUCGUUAGAGGUGUUCCCGAUCUCCAAAAAUCACGAAAUUAAAUCUGGAGUGUCCUUAUAUAUUGAAUUUUUGAUCUGGAAAUUUUGGGCACCAAAUUCAACCCGCUGAAUCUUUUUUUAAAUUUUUAUUGAAUUUCGUAUUUUUUUAUUUUUUUGACUUUUUUGACUGAUUUGUUUGCGGGAAUAAUUUUUUAAUAUUCAAUCACAGUGCCAAAAACAUGUAUGUAAAAUUUCAGAUCAAUCGGACAACGUUUACCCACUCAAAUGAAUUUUUUUUGAACAAUUUUUCUGGGUAAAACUGCUGUUUAUGCUUUAAAAAAUAGAGAUCAGUUUAGAAAUCAACCAAGAACACCCAAAACGCCCAAAAUCUGAUACCAAAUGAUACGGGGUUGUGCGCGGACCAAGAUCGAGUUGCCAAGUCACGAGAAACUCCUACGAAAACCCUAAACAAUUAGAUCUGAAACGAAAACUGAAAAUUAAAAGAUUAGAUUUUUGAAUUUUUAGAUCUGAAAUAAAAUCCCCAAAACAGUAAAGAAUCAAAUAGAGAAUAGAAAUAAAUGUUAGGGUUCUUGAAACCCUCAAGGAGAUUGUGAUUCUGCCCAAUUGAACACCAAGAUAGUUUUCCCCAAAUUUCGACAAUCUAAUUUCACCCAAAAAGAGUAUAGAAAAACCCUAGAAAUUGGGGAUUUUUGGGCUGAUUCCUUAAGAUAGAAAAAGGCUGAAAACACAAUAAGAACAGAAAAUAGAUUAGAUAAUGAUUCAGCACAAGUAGAAAUAAAGAAAGAAUUGACAGCAAGAAAUUAAAAGAUAAGUCCUAAGAAGCCUUGAAAUCUCGAAAGAUCUCACAACUCCCUUCAAACGGCUCUAAUCUUCCCUCCAAAGAAUAUCAAUGGCAAGAAGAAGGUUGAAGAUGGCUCCCACAAUCAAAAGAUUGUUAAAACAACUUCUAAAGAAAACUCAAGAGAGAAAUCUUGGAGAAAACUCAAAGAAAAUUCUGCUCUCAACAAAUCUGAAAUUUUAAUAAUAAUAAUAAGUGUUUAACAAGGUGGACAGCCAUGCCUUUAAAUAGGCCUUAUAACUAGUCCUAAUCUAAUUAGAAAACUAAAAUAAAAAAAACUCCUAUUUAUUUUAAUAUGGAAAUUCGGUCAAAGGUCAUUUUAUCUGGGACUCUUAGACUGAAUAUUGACAUAAAAAUUUAAACUAAGUAAAUAAAUAAAAAUAAAAAUAAAACUUUACAACUUGGGCCACUUUGACAAUUUGGCCUGAUUUUCAACUAAGUAUGGAUGGAUUUCUUGAUUGAGCUGGGAAUUUGCUUAUUGGGCCUCGCCUUCAAGAAUUUGGGCUUUUGUGACUCGUAUCAAAUUGUAUGCGUUGAUUCGAGCCCUAGAGACAUGGCAACAUGAUACGAGUCAUAAAGGCCCAAUCCAAGUUCAAGAACGUGAUGGGCUCAAAUUGCCACAAGGCCCAAUAACAAGAUCAAAGGCCCGACAAAUGCGGUCCAAACUAAAUGGGACCAUUCAAGAGCUUGUUAGCAAGGCCUUAGAUGCAUACACGAGAGAACAAGAAAAUCAAGAUUCACUUUCUUGUUUUCAAGUAAAUCAAGAAACCCAAUCUUGGCCCAAUUUUGCUGUUCGAAGAGAUUUCAAGAAUCAAGAAAAUCAAGAUUUCAAAUCUUGGAAAUCUUGGUCCAAGAAACCAAAUCUUGCAGCCAAAACGCAUUGGAUCUCCAUUACGAGCGUCAACGACCCAAUUUUGGUAGGAGAUGGAUCACGAGCCCAAAUUCUUAAAGGCAAGGCCCAAUAAGCAAAUUCCCAACCCAAUCAAGAAAUCCAUACAUAUUUAGUUGAAAAUCAGGCCAAAAUGUCAAAGGGCCCAAUUUGUAAACAUUUUAGUUGUUUAAGUUAAUUUUUAAAGUUUUAGGAAUAUCACAUGUUAAAUUCGGCCCAAAACAGCCCAAUAGGAUGCAUGGCCGAAUUUUCCUUUGUUUUUUUAAUUAAGUUUAAAUUUUUUAGGUUUUCUAAUUAGAUUAGGAUUUGUUGGAGGCCUAUAUAAGCAUUGGCCAGCCACUCUUUGUAAAAGGCUGAUUAUUAUUUUUUUCUAUCAAAUUUCAGAUUUGUUGAGUGCAGAAUUUUCUUUGGGGUUUUCUCCAAGAAUUCUCUCUUAAGUUUUCUUUAGAAGUUGCUUUAACAAUCUUUUGAUUGUGGGAGUCAUCUUCAACCUUCUUCUUGCCAUCGAUAUUCUUUGGAGGGGAGAUUAGAGCCGUUUGAAGGAAUUUGUGAAUUCUUUCGGGAAUUCAAGGGUUCUUAGGACUUUUCUUUAAUUCUUGCUGUUUCGAUUUCUUUCUUUACUUUUCUUUGCUUAUACUUGUGCUGAUUUCUCAUCUAAUAUUUUACUGUUCUUGUUUGUUUUCCAGCAUUGAUUAAAAUCAAGAUCUCAUCGUUUAAGUUGUUCUCCUAUUGGCAGCACCCAUUCGAACCCAAAAAUCCCCAAUUCCUAGGGUUUGGCCGAUUGGAUUUCUUUCAAUUUGGGAAUCAAUUGAUUGCUGGAAAUUGGGAAUUCUUGGUCAAAUCAAUUCCUUGGCAGAUUCGCAUCUUUUCUUUCUUCUCAAUUUCGUUUGAUUCAUCGAUUCUAUUUCUUUUCUUCUUGCUGCUAUUUUAAUUGAACUUGGGAAUUUUAAAUUCAAAUCUGAUUUGGUUUAAUCUUAAUCUUUGUUUUUGUUUUCAGAUCUAUUUGUCUAGGACCUUUCGUAGGAGUUUCCCGUGACUUGGCAACUCGAUCUUGGUCCGCGCGCAACCCCGUAUCACAACACUAUUUAUGGCCGAAGGAAUUCGUAAUUCAUUCAGACCAUGAGGCUCUAAAUCAUUUGAAAGGACAAACCAAGCUCAAUAAAUGUCAUGCCAAGUGGGUGGAGUAUUUGGAGUCUUUCACGUACGUGAUCAAGUAUAAAAAGGGUAAGGAAAAUGUUGUAGCCGACGCCCUAUGUACGCACUUGUUAAUUUAAUGGAUUCUAAAUUGCUUGGUUUUGAAUUUAUCAAAGAUCUUUAUAAAUCCGAUGCUAACUUUGGUGAAAUUUAUGAGUCUUGUUCGCAUGGUGCUUGUGAAAAGUACUUUCAGCAUGAGGGAUAUUUAUUUCUUGAGGGCAAGCUUUGUGUGCCUCAAAGUUCUGUGUGAAAUGUGCUUGUUGAAGAAGCCCAUAGUGGUGGACUUAUAGGUCACUUUGGGAUUGCCAAAACUCUAGCAAUUUUGCACGAACAUUUCUAUUGACCCAAAAUGAAACGCGACGUAUUAAGGAAAUGUGAUCGUUGCAUCACUUGUAAGAAGGCAAAGUCACGAAUCAAACCUCAUGGUUUAUACACCCCGUUGCCUAUUCCCGAUGCUCCGUGGGUAGAUAUUUCAAUGGAUUUUGUUCUAGGUCUUCCAAGAACCAAAAGAGGAAGAGAUUCAAUAUUUGUUGUCGUAGAUCAUUUCUCGAAAAUGGCUCAUUUCAUACCUUGUAAUAAAACUGAUGAUGCUACUAACGUUGCUAAUUUGUUUUUCAAGGAAGUUGUCAGGUUGCAUGGAAUUCCUCGUACUAUUGUUUCUGACUGUGACACAAAGUUUCUAAGUCAUUUUUGGAGGACGUUGUAGGGAAAAUUGGGCACCAAACUUCUAUUUUCGACAACAUGCCACCCUCAAACGGAUGGCCAAACUGAAGUAGUAAAUCGUGUGUUAUCAACUCUGCUUCGAGCUAUUUUGCAAAAGAAUUUGAAGAUGUGGGAAGAUUGCUUACCUCAUGUGGAGUUCGCAUACAAUCGAACCAUUCAUUCCGCUACAAAAUUUUCUCCUUUUGAGGUAGUAUAUGGUUUUAACCGCAUUACCCCUCUUGAUUUGAUUCCUAUGCCUGCUAAUGAGUUAGUGCAUGUAGAUGGUAAAAGAAAGGCCGAUUUUGUCAAACAAUUGCACAAAAAGGUCAAAGAUAAUAUCGAGAGGAGGACUGAACAAUAUGUUUGAAUCGCUAAUAAGGGACGUAAACGAGUUGUAUUCGAACUCGGUGAUUGGGUUUGGAUCCACAUGCGCAAGGAACGAUUUCCCGAGCAAAGGAAAUCCAAAUUGCAAUCAAGGGGUGACGGCCCAUUUCAAGUCUUGAAGCAGAUUAAUGAUAACGUUUACAAAAUUGACUUUCCGGGUGAGUAUGGAGUGAGUGCAAGUUUUAACGUUGCAGAUCUCUCUCCUUUUGAUGUAGGUGACGAUUCGAGGACGAAUCACUUUGAAAAGAGGAAGGAUGAUAUGAGCUCGCCCAUGAAGAUAGGUGUUGAAUCCAUGGAGUUGCCUUUGGGGCCAAUUACUCGAGCACGUGCCAAGAAGUUCCAAGACGCCGUAGCAAGUUAUAUUGCUCGAUUGUGGAGUGAUGGGCUGAUUGCACAUAAAACGCCCAGCUCAACUAGCUUGAGUCGCACCUUCCUACAAGCUGAUUUUAGCUCGUGUUAGCUCAAUUCAGCUCAAUUUGGCACUUAACAAGUUCAAGGAGUUGAUUAUAUUCAUUUUGAAUAAAUUAAAUUAGUUUUGUUAGUUUAGAAUCAGCUCAAGUUAUUUAAUUAAAUAAAUAUGUUUUAAUCUAGACAUUUUAAUUCAGCUUAUUAAAUGUGUUUUAUUUUAGUACAUGCCAUUAAUAUGUCCAUAUUAAGUCAUAAAUUAAAUAUGUUUAGUUUAAUUACAAAGUUUUAAUGUGUCUUAACUAAGACAAAUUUAUUAGUGGCUGCUAAUUAAUUUGUCUUAGCCGAAUUAAUGUGCAGAAUUUUAAUGUUUUCAGCUGCUGAUUUUAUGAGCUUUAAAUAUGUCUUAAUUGCAUGUAUUUGAUAUUUUUUUUAGAUGAAUCAGCUAGCUUAAAGGCAAAGGAAGACAAUUAAAGAAGGAGCAUGUAUUUGGGCACAUGCAUGGACGGUAUUUAAGGUGGAGCUUCCUUGUGCUUUCAGCUGACUUUUCGUGCAGCUCAAUGGACUUCUAGCUGCUGAUUUGAGCUUCUCCAAGAGUCAAUUUCAUGGAGAGCAAUGGCCAAAAAGUGCCUCAUAAAUUCCAGCAGCUAACUAAUUUGGUGGCUGCUCAUAUUCGGCCAAAAGAGCAUGAUUGUUCAUGCUGUCCAUUUCUCUUCUCCAAAGCAGCAAUUAAACUCUUUUAAACACAUUAGUUGAAUGUGAAUUUCACCAUUAAAGGGGUCAGCCGAAUCAUCUUUUCUAGAAGGUUAAUGUUCAGAUUUUGUUCAUGAAUGUAUCUAGGAAAUUUCUAGGAAGUUUCCUAAAGAAACUUAAGGCAUAAGGAUCUGAUUAGAAAGGCUAUUUGGUUGCCUUAGUCUAGCCUAUAAAUAGACCAUGUAAUUCACAUUUGGAGGUUAAUGAACAAUUUUAUAGCUUUGCUAAAUUGUAAGGUUGUUUACAAAUCUCGUUAUUAUCCAAAGAAUUGUGGGACUUAUCAAACAUCUUUGUGGCGUCAAACUUGUCUUUGUUUCUACCCGAACUUAUCACUUUAAUCCCAAAAGUGUGGCGUUCGAUUCAUAUUGAGGUUCCUAUCACCUUUUGAUAGCGGGUCAAAGUUUCCAUCCAUUUCACAAACCUUCCAUCAAUACUGAUGCGAUCCCGGUCGCAUCAUGUUACGACACAACUCGACGCUACCGAGAUUGGUCCAAACUCGAGGGGCCCAAGUGCAAAAUGAAGUUUUUAAUUUUAGUUUGUCAAUUUGGCUGCUGGAAAAUAAGGACUUUGAUUCAUUAAUUUUUAGUUAUUUUAGUUUGUGUUUUUAAUUAUGUCAUAGUUUGCACAUCAUUAAUAUGUGUUCUGCAUUUAAUAAAGUCAUGCAUUAUGUUACUUUCAUGUUAGUUAAGUUUGCAUCAUUAAAUUAAGUCAAGUUAGUUUAAUUAUGUAACUUUCAUGUUAGUUAAAUUUGCAUUUCAAAACCAUGCAUUUAAGCAUCUUAGUUUAAUAAAUGAGUUGCUGGACAUUUAUUCAACUCAUCUUAGUUUUAAUUAAUAAGUGUUUUUUUUGAACUUUAUUUAAUAAGUGUUGUUCUUAAUUGAUCUAGUUCCUAGGAUUAUUUAUUGAUGCAUAAAUUAAGUUUUUUAAAUUAUGCUUCUUUAAUUAAACUAGUUGCUGGAAUAAUUAUUGCAUAUAUGUUUUAGUUCAUUUAUUUAAGUAAGUUUAAUGUUUGUUAUGAUUAAUAAGUGUUUUCAUUUGUUUAAUAAACUCAUUUUAAUGUGUUUAUUGCAGGUGACUUUUUAGCUUAUAGUGGUUACAAUUCAAGGCUGUUACACAUUUAAUUAAGUGGCUGUUCAAGUUCUUUUGAGUUACAAUUAAAGGGGCUGUUAUAAAGGGAGCUUAAAAAUCAUUAAAGGAGUUUUUAAAGAGCAUUUUAUGCCCUUUAAAAUUCAGCAGCAACUCUUCCACUUCCAGCCGUUUUUGGAGCUUUCAAGAGAAAUUAAUCAAGCCUUUGAAUGUCAUUAAGGAGCUGGUUAAGAGAUGGUGUCUAUUCAACUAGCCAAGGACAACUCAAGAGUCAUUUUCUAAGCCAUUAAAGAAUUCAAAUCAGCUGAAUUAAAGUGAUUUUAUGGAAGGAAUUAUUUGGUUCAAAGAAUAAGAAAAGACAUCAGUUUUUAUGGCACAUUAAGUGGAUGUUUUUGACCAUUCGGUUACCUUGUUUUAGCAUUAUAAAUAGAUGUAAUCAGCCAUAGAGAGAAGAACUUUUUUGCUGAAUAUAGAUGAAAUAUUUGAAUUGUGAGCUAUCCAAUUCUCUUUGUUCUUUCGGAAUUGAUUUGACUUAUCAAGCAUAGCUUGUGGCGUCCAUAUUUUCUUUGUUGCUGAACUUAUCACCUUUGGUGUGGCAUUCAAUAUACCUUUGGUUCCUAUCAUAGUUGAUAGUGGCUCAAGGUUCCUUUCCUGUUUCCUUUAACCGAAAAACACCUACAGACCAUUUUGAGAUUCGAGUCAACAAUUCGUUAUUGUUGGUUCAUUUUCGGUCUUAGCCAAUUAAUUUGUUAUUGUUUCCUCUUUAUUUUGUUUAUUACCUUUGUUUGAAGCCAUUAUCUCUAUUUUGUUUCAUUUUAAAAUCGAAACGAAUCCAUCCUUACUCAAUUCACGAUUGGGCAACACAUACGACUCAAAACAUCACGAGACGAGUUCGUAUCAAAUUGGUAUCAGAGCUAGCGAAUUUGGAGUAAGAAUCGACAUUGUCGGCAUUACGAUAUAGUAGUUUCUCGAAAAAAACUCAAAAAAAAUUCAAAAAAAAAUUAAAAAAAAAACUAGUUUCCAUUCAAACUUAAAAGAUUGGAUAUCAAGUUGUGAAAAAAAUUUUGAAAAAAAAAUUGUGAAAAAAAAAAUUUGAAAAAAAAAGAGCUAGUUUUGAAAUUUAGUUUUUGUUUGCUGCCCAAAAUUUUAGUCAUUACUACCUUCUACUUUUUGCCACACCAAACAUUUACAUUUCUUUAUUUCAAGCCUACUUUCCUUUGUCCUACAAUAUUCUUUCCAAGCCCAAACAUCAAGUUUGUAAGCCAACCCACAACAACUGCCUAUUAAGUUUAAAUAAUUCCUAAGAACUUAGAGAGGAGGAGUGAGUGGAAAGAGGCAAGAGAGUAGUGAGUUUAUUCAAGAGAAAAAAAAAGCCAAGUGUAUGAGAUUUCAUUGUGAGUGGAUAGUGAGAUUCUUUGUUGUGAUUUCUUAAAAAAAAUGUCACGAAGUCUGGAAAAAAAUUCAGACAAGGGAGUUGGAUUCCGUCCUGUAAGAAUUGUUGGAGGAAGUGUGCCAGAUUUUACACUCCAAGCCUUUACGCAUGAAAUGGAGCAUCUAUUUGAUCGAAAACUCAAACCCAUCAAGAAACGAUUGGAUCGUGUCGAAGAGCGGAGUCAUCGAGCAAGAACCCAACGGGAGAAAAUUUAUCCAAAUGAAAGGACGAAAAUGAGAUCAUCAAGGAGACAAACAUUCGACGAAUAUGUGGAAAGAGACCCUUAUCCAGAUUCCUAUUCUUCAAGGAAUUUAGGCCGAAAUAAAUCCAGCUACAAGUUUGAAGCCUAUCAAGGUAACGAACGAGAAAGCACAAGUCAUUCUUCGUAUGCAACAAAGUAUUCAUCUACGAAAAAAUCCUUACGAAGAAGUGAAUGUGUUUCGUAUAAGAACUCAUCCAUGGAGGUUUAUUCACGAAGAGUUGACCGUGACUCUUAUGAAGAUUCUUCCACUUCUUUCCAACGAAAAGUCUAUUGUUCUGAUUAUUUUGUAUUAUCUCCAUUUUGUAAUAAAGUUGAGAGAAGAAAAAGAGUGACGAGAGAAAAAGAAACUGAAAAAGAAACAAAAAUUGAAAAAGAGAAAAAGAUUGGAGAAAGAAAAGAAAGAGUGCGAGAAACAAGUGUUGUUUAAAAUGAAAGAGAAUUGAUGAGUGAAAGUGAGUUUUCAACAAACAAAGAGAUUGUGGAAAAAGAAAGAGAAGUUGAAAAAGAAACGGGUGGAAAAGAUGAAAGUCAACAAGAAAAAGUGAGGAAUGUUUUUACUAACCAAUCUGCAAGUUGUCCUCAUAUUGUUUCUUCUUUCCAGGUUUCUAGAGAUUCAAAUGACAAGUUUCAACUUCAUUACCUUCCUGAUGAGAGACGAUUCCAUUUGAUCGAAAAAGGUAAGGUUCAAGCGCUUAAAGGUAAGCAAGGUAAGGAGUUUUUAGUCAGUGAAUCAUGGCAAUCAAGUUUGAAAGUUGUUGAUAAAAUUUUCGAUAACUUAGUUUUAAAAAGAUCUCCUUAUUUUGAUUUGGUUAAUUGUUACUCGCUAUUUGUGGUUGAUAAAUUUUUUUUAAGUGGAGGCAUGAAGAGUUGUUCACUCAAUAAGUUUUGUGUUAAAAAAUCUUUUGAUGUUGUUCGAUUAAAUCCACAAAUACAAAAUCUGAUCAUGUUUGAUAAAGAGCUUUCAUGUGAAACGCUCAAUCUGUUUGAUCGUGACGGUAAUGAAAAUUUUUUAACUCUUAGCGUGAGAUCUUCGUAUAUUUGCAUGAGAUUUGAGAGAUUUGAUUCUUUGAAUUUAUUUUUGCCUACAUCUUCUUUAUUUGGCAUGUGUGAUGUCUUGGUGAAAGUGAAGUUUUUGUUACGUUACGGAACGACCGAUCAAAACCAUGUUUUUAAACCCGGAGCCUGUAUUCCUAAGUUGACCUCAAGCGAAGGUGAGUAUCAAAAUUGUAUUUUGAAUCAAUGUGUUGACCCCUUCUAUUUGCUUCAACUUUUAUCUUUAUUUAGUUCGAAAACCAAACAUGUUAAUUUCGUUGGCUUGCCAAGUCAAAAUCAAAUUUUUUAUUCUAGAGGUUGUUGUAUAUUGUUGCUUAAUGGAUUCGAACAUGUGUUGCAUGAUUUUAACUUUAAUGUGCUUCAAGUUCUUCAUAAGUUACUAGCCAUAAAUUUUUCUAGUCAAAUUGAAAUGGUGAACAAAAAUUUUGUCUUUGAUCCCGGUGAAUGCUGUUCCAUAUCAUUGUUCAAGGGAUUUGGACCAUGGAAUUCUAAUUUUCAAAACUAUAAUCUUCAAAUACCUUGUGAAUCAGGUUUGCUUCCAUCGAAGAAAAAGGUAAAACCAAUUUCUAUUUUUGAUCCCAGUAUUGAUUCAUGUGUUGUUCUUUUGAGUUUAUUUGUUCAAGUUGUGACUAAAAUCCCGGAAAGUUCUUUUGUGUUUAACCUUCAUUGUGUAACUAAUUUGUUUUAUUGUUUUGUAGGUGACGAUGUUAGGUGGUACCCUCCUAAAGAGGGAUGGCAUGCAAAUGACCUUCUUUCUAGCCGAGCCAUUUGUGGUUCUCAAAAUUUUGAAAAUAAUUCUGUCCGGAUCAUGAACAAAGGGGGUCAUGAUCUUGAAAAAUUUUCACGAGCAAGUGGCCCGAUUUGAGGACAAAUCGUUUUCAAGAGGGAGGGUAUGAUGCGAUCCCGGUCGCAUCAUGUUACGACACAACUCGACGCUACCGAGAUUGGUCUAAACUCGAGGGGCCCAAGUGCAAAAUGAAGUUUUUAAUUUUAGUUUGUCAAUUUGGCUACUGGAAAAUAAGGACUUUGAUUCAUUAAUUUUUAGUUAUUUUAGUUUGUGUUUUUAAUUAUGUCAUAGUUUGCACAUCAUUAAUAUGUGUUCUGCAUUUAAUAAAGUCAUGCAUUAUGUAACUUUCAUGUUAGUUAAGUUUGCAUCAUUAAAUUAAGUCAAGUUAGUUUAAUCAUGUAACUUUCAUGUUAGUUAAAUUUGCAUUUCAAAACCAUGCAUUUAAGCAUCUUAGUUUAAUAAAUGAGUUGCUGGACAUUUAUUCAACUCAUCUUAGUUUUAAUUAAUAAGUGUUUUUGUUGAACUUUAUUUAAUAAGUGUUGUUCUUAAUUGAUCUAGUUCCUAGGAUUAUUUAUUGAUGCAUAAAUUAAGUUUUUUAAAUUAUGCUUCUUUAAUUAAACUAGUUGCUGGAAUAAUUAUUGCAUAUAUGUUUUAGUUCAUUUAUUUAAGUAAGUUUAAUGUUUGUUAUGGUUAAUAAGUGUUUUCAUUUGUUUAAUAAACUCAUUUUAAUGUGUUUAUUGCAGGUGACUUUUUAGCUUAUAGUGGUUACAAUUCAAGGCUGUUACACAUUUAAUUAAGUGGCUGUUCAAGUUCUUUUGAGUUACAAUUAAAGGGGCUGUUAUAAAGGGAGCUUAAAAAUCAUUAAAGGAGCUUUUAAAGAGCAUUUUAUGCCCUUUAAAAUUUAGCAGCAACUCUUCCACUUCCAGCCGUUUUUGGAGCUUUCAAGAGAAAUUAAUCAAGCCUUUGAAUGUCAUUAAGGAGCUGGUUAAGAGAUGGUGUCUAUUCAACUAGCUAAGGACAACUCAAGAGUCAUUUUCUAAGCCAUUAAAGACAUUCAAAUCAGUUGAAUUAAAGUGAUUUUAUGGAAGGAGUUAUUUGGUUCAAAGAAUAAGAAAAGACAUCAGUUUUUAUGGCACAUUAAGUGGAUGUUUUUGACAUUCGGUUACCUUGUUUUAGCAUUAUAAAUAGAUGUAAUCAGCCAUAGAGAGAAGAACUUUUUUGCUGAACAUAGAUGAAAUAUUUGAAUUGUGAGCUACCCAAUUCUCUUUGUUCUUUCGGAAUUGAUUUGACUUAUCAAGCAUAGCUUGUGGCGUCCAUCUUUUCUUUGUUGCUGAACUUAUCACCUUUGGUGUGGCAUUCAAUAUACCUUUGGUUCCUAUCAUAGUUGAUAGUGGGUCAAGGUUCCUUUCCUGUUUCCUUUAACCGAAAAACACCUACAGACCAUUUUGAGAUUCGGGUCAACAAUUUGUUAUUGUUGGUUCAUUUUCGGUCUUAGCCAAUUAAUUUGUUAUUGUUUCCUCUUUAUUUUGUUUAUUACCUUUGUUUGAAUCCAUUAUCUCUAUUUUGUUUCAUUUUAAAACCGAAACGAAUCCAUCCUUACUCAAUUCAAGAUUGGGCAACACAUACGACUCAAAACAUCACGAGACGAGUUCGUAUCAAAUACCUUACCACCCUAAGCAUUCUCAUAAGUUACGGGUUAACACACUACUAUUGUGUUAGUUUGGCUUUUGAAUCCUUAGCCAAAUUGCAUCAAUUGACUUUUGAUUCAUUUCCUCAACCAAUAAAACUGUUUUGAGCCUAAAUAAUCCCUUUUUUUCUUCUAACCUAUUUUGAAAAGCCUUAAACUUACUGUUAAUUCACGAUCGGGCAUUUCAUACGACUUCUUCAUCAAACGAGGCAAGCGCGUAUCAUCCCGAGUGGGUUACCACCUAUUCGUGGAAUUGAACACCAAAUAGAUCUUGUGCCGGGAGCCACGAUUCCAAAUUGACCUGCUUAUCGAAGUAACCCUGAAGAAACGAAAGAACUAUAAAAGCAAGUGAAUGAACUUCUUGAAAAGGGCUAUGUGCGUGAAAGCCUUAGUCCAUGCGUCGUGCCAGUUUUGCUUGUUCCAAAGAAUGAUGGAACGUGGAGGAUGUGUGUGGACUGUCGUGCUAUAAAUAAAAUAACUAUCAAGUAUCAUCAUCCUAUACUGCGAUUAGAUGAUAUGCUUGAUGAAUUGAGUGGCGCGAGUUUGUUUUCAAAAAUAGAACUUAAGAGCGGUUAUCACCAAAUACGGAUGCGCGAGGGUGAUGAGUGGAAGACUGCGUUCAAAACAAAGCAUGGGCUAUACAAAUGGCUCGUUAUGCCAUUUGGCUUAACAAACGCCCCAAGCACAUUCAUGAGGCUUAUGAAUCACGUUUUAAGACCUUUUAUUGGUAGAUUUUGCCUAGUAUAUUUUGAUGAUAUAUUAGUUUAUAGUAAAAAUUUGGAUGAUCAUUUUUACAUUUAAAGGCUGUUUUGGAAGUAUUGAGGAAAGAAACCUUGUAUGCUAAUCUGAAGAAAUGUGAUUUUUGCACUAACAAGGUUGUAUUUUUAGGUUUCGUUGUUAGUUCGGAGGGCCUUGAAGUUGAUCAAGAAAAGGUCAAGGCGAUCCAAGAAUGGCCCCGUCCGACGAAUAUCUCCCAAGUUCGAAGUUUCCAUGGAUUAGCAAGUUUUUACUAUCGAUUCGUGCCAAACUUCAGCACUUUAGCCGAACCCUUGACUGGGGUUAUUCGUAAGAAUUCCAAUUUCAUUUGGGGAGAGCAGCAAGAAAAAUCAUUUCUGAAAAUUAAAGAUUGUUUAACUCAUGCACCAUUACUAGCAUUGCCCAAUUUUGAUCAAACUUUCGAGUUAGAAUGUGAUGCAUCAGGUUUAGGCAUUGGAGCCGCGUUGAUGCAAGAUGGACGUCCUAUCACCUAUUUUAGUGAGAAACUCAACGGUGCCAUCCUAAACUAUCUGACGUACGACAAGGAGCUCUACUCAUUGAUUCGAGCCUUAGAGACGUGGGAACACUAUCUUUGGCCCAAAGAAUUCGUCAUACACACCGAUCAUGAGUCCUUGAAGUAUUUGAAAGGGCAACACAAGUUGAAUAAGCGGCACGCUAAGUGGGUAGAAUUUCUUGAAUCUUUUCCCUACGUAAUUAAAUAUAAGAAAGGUAAGGAAAAUGUAGUGGCUGAUGCACUAUCACGAAGGUAUGCUUUAUUAAAUGUUUUGGAUGCCAAGUUGAUGGGGUUUGUAUUUCUUAAAGAUUUAUAUGUCAACGAUACUGACUUUGGUGAAUUCUUUAGGUUCUGCGCAAAGGGAGCCUAUGAGAAGUACUAUCGACAUGAUGGGUACUUAUUCCGAGAAGGGAAGCUUUGUAUACCCCAAGGGUCCGUUCGACUGGUGUUAAUUGAGGAAGCGCAUAGUGGUGGAUUAAUGGGGCACUUUGGUGUUGCUAAGACUUUAGCUACACUCCAUGAACACUUCUUUUGGCCCAAGAUGCGACGAGAUGUUGAACGAUUUUGUAAUCGAUGCAUUGCAUGCAAACGAGCUAAGUCACGAAUUAAGCCCCACGAUUUGUAUAAGCCAUUGCCCAUUCCCGAAACCCCUUGGUCUGAUAUUUCAAUGGAUUUCGUGCUAGGUUUACCAAGGAGUAAAAAUGGUCGAGAUUCAAUAUUUGUGGUUGUAGAUAGGUUUUCUAAAAUGGCCCAUUUAAUAGCAUGUCAUAAAACUGAUAAUACCGUUAAUAUUGCUAACUUAUUUUUCAAAGAGGUGGUCAGGUUGCAUGGCAUGCCUAGGACGAUCGUGUCCGACCGAGACGCGAAAUUUCUUACCCAUUUUUGGAGAACACUAUGAGGGCGUCUUGGAACCAAGUUGCUAUUUUCAACCACUUGCCAUCCGCAAACGGACGGCCAAACUGAAGUGGUCAACCGAAUUUUGUCUACAUUGCUUCGAGCUAUCAUCUGGAAAAAUUUGAAGGCUUGGGAAGAAUGUUUACCACAUGUGGAGUUUGCGUAUAAUCGAGUUGUUCACUCAGCUACCAAAUUUUCUCCUUUUGAAAUCGUUUAUGGUUUCAAUCUGUUAACACAACUUGAUUUAAUGCCAUUGCCUUCUAAUCAACUUAUACAUGUAGAUGGAAAGCGCAAAGCUGAUUUUGUCAAGCAAUUGCACCAACGAGUUCGAGACAAUAUUGAGGCCAAGACCAAGAACUAUGAACAACAUGCUAACAAAGGUCGUAAGCGAGUUGUGUUCGAGCCGGGAGAUUGGGUUUGGUUGCACAUGCGCAAGGAGAGAUUUCCUAUGCAAAGCCGAUCUAAACUUCUUUCGAGAGGGAAUGGACCGUUUCAAGUCCUUGAGCGAAUUAACGAUAACUCUUAUAAAUUGGACUUGCCUGGUGAAUAUAAUGUUAGUGCGACUUUUAACGUUUCUGAUUUGUCUCCGUAUGAUGCAGAUUGCAAUUUGAGGACAAAUCAUUUUGAAGAGGAGGGGAAUGAUGUGAGCUUGCCUACGAACCAAGUAGAGCUCGAUCAAGAAGCUAUCAAACUACCCAUCAGUCUGAUAAUGCGAGCUAGAGCUAAACGAUUCAAGGAUGCUAUUUCAGUAAUGGUGGAACGAACUUGGGAAAAUGAUAACAAAGAGUUUAAAAACGAGCUGAACAUUUUCAACUUUUUGGAAGCUGAAAUUCGUUCCAAAUAAUUAAUUUGCUGCUGGAAUUUUUGGACCAUUUGAUGUGAGCUUGCCUACGAACAAUGAUGUGAGCUUGCCUACGAGCCAAAUGGAGAACGAACAAGAAGCCAUUAAGCUGCCCAUUGGUCCAAUAACGCGAGCUAGAGCUAAACGAUUCAAAGAUGCUAUUUUAGCAAUGGUGGAACGGGUUGAGGAAAAUGAUAGCAAGGAGUUUAAAAACGAGCUGAACAUAUUCAACUUCUUUGAAGCUGAAUUUUGUUCUAGCUAAUUAAUUUGCUGCUGGAAUUUUAGACCAUUUAAAUAAGCAUUUAAAUAAGUUUCAUUACAGCUUUUAAAUAUGUCUUAAUUUAUUACAAGUGUUUAAUAUGUUGAUUUGGUUGAAUUAAAGGUGUCUAGAUGUCAUUUAAUUUGUUUGAAUAUAUUACAUGAAUUAACUAUGUUCAGCCGAAUUAAUGUGUCUUGUUUAGUACAUAUUUAAUUCGGCUUAAUGUUAAUUAGUAUGUUCAUAUUAUGUUUUAAAUUAAUUCAGCUGAAUUGAGUUAAAUUAAUGAGGUUCAUUUGUUUUAUUUAGGUUCAGCCGAAUGUGGAAGAUGCAUGGGAAAGGUUGGCCGAAUGUGGUGUGCAAGAUGCAUGCAUGUUGGAUUCAAUGCACCUAAUGAUACAUGCAUGAACUACAUUAAAAAUGGUGUGCUGAUUAUUGAAGUUCUCUAAGUGACCAUUCGGCUAAAGAGAUAGUUUUUCAAGCUGCCAUUAUUUCCUUCACAUUGCUGGAUACAUUUUGGCCAUUCGGUUCUUGGUGUUCACAUUUUAAGGCUCUUCAAAACCGUCCAUUCACACCUAAUGUGGCUGUUCAAGUGCCCUCUUUAUUAUUGAUAAUUUUUCAGCAAGAGUUGCCUAUUGAAUGAUCAUUUAAGCUCAUCAGCUGAAUGUAGCUGUUACAUGCAUUCCCAAGAUUCAUUUGCUUAAUAUGGAAGCUUCAUGUAUGAUCACUAUUCAGCCGAACCUACAUUGGCCAUUUUUGUUCAAUGUUUGCUUAGAAACUAAGUCUAGAAUAUGUCCAUUCGGCUACUAGGCAUUAGGCUAUAAAUAGUUACUCAUUUUUUUGUAAAAGGACUUUUGACAAAUUUCUGAAUGAAAUAUCAUUUUAGUGAGGCAAUUCACUCUCUUUAUUCUCCAAAGCUCAAAUUGACUUAUCUUCAACAAGUGGCGUCAAUCUGACUUUGUUUCGAACUUAUCACCAUUGGUGUGGCGUUCUUCAUACCGUAGGUUCCUAUUUUGCUAAAUAGAGGAUCUCGGUUUAUCCCAAAUCCUUUCUUUCUUUAAAACCUUAAGCCCCGGGUCCUUAUUUGCUAAUAAGGGUUCGACUUGUUUUCAUUGAAAUAUCCAGCAAACAACACUCCAUCAAACUCCCUUGUUUCCCAAAGCCAUUUAAUUUUAAACACCAAGACUUGAAUUUAUUUCAAGGCCGACACUACCUAAUUUCGAUCGGGAAAUAUUACGACUCGUUAUUUCAUACGAAACGAGCUCGUAUCACCAUUUAAAUAAGCAUUUAAUUAAGUUUUACUACAGAUUAUAAGUAUGUCUUUAUUUAAUAUAAGUGUUUAAUAUGUCUUGAUUUAGUUAAAUUAAAGAUGUCUUGAUUUCACUUAGUUUGUCUAAAUUAAUACAUGUCUUAAAUCUAUCCAGCCGAAUUUAUGUGUCAUGUUUUAUUAAUAUUUAAGUUGUCUCAAUGAUAAUUAGGAUGUUCACAUUAUGCUUUAAUUUAGUUCAGCUGAAUUUGCUUGAAAUUAAUUAAGUUCAUGUGUGUUUUCAGGUGCAGCCGAAUUUGAUGAUACAUUGGGAAGAUUCAUGCAUGUAGAUUCAAUGAAUGUGAAGAUGCAUGUACAGCUGGUACAAUUCAUGCAUUGAAGCUGAAUUAAUUUGGUCAUUCUUCAAAGCAACUAUUCAGCCAAUUCAUCACCCCAAGUCAUGGCCGAUUCUCUUCUCAAGGGAGCAUAAAAGCUGUUCACACCAUGGUUGUUCGGUUCAGCCAUGUUCACACCUUAUGGCCCUUCAAAACCGUCCAUUCACACUUCCAAAUGGCUGUUCAAGUUGCUAAUUAAUGCUGGUAAUUUUUCAGCAAGAGUUGCUUCAUGAAUUACCUCAUUAAACUCCAUUAGCCAAAUGUAGCUGCUGCUAAUUUCCAAAGUUCAUUGGAAGCUAUUCCUUGGUCCCUAUUCAACCGAACCUUGAAGCAAGUUCAUUCAUGAAUUUUAGCUAAAAUUUAGUUCAAUGUUUGCUUAGUUUUUAAGCUUUGAAUUGUCCAUUCGGUUACUAGAACUUAGGCUAUAAAUAGUUGCUGAUUCUUGUAAAAGGACUUUUUGACAAAUUUUUGAAUGAAUGAUAUUUUUGGUGAGUUAAUUCACUCUCCUUAUUCUCCAAAGCUCAAUUGACUUAUCUUCACAAGUGGCAUCAAUUUGACUUUGUUUCGAACUUUCACCAUUAGGUGUGGCGUUCUUCAUACCAUGGGUUCCUAUUUUGCUAAAUAGAGGGUCUCGCUUUUUAUCCUUAUUUCUUUCUCCUUUCUUUGAAACCUUAAGCCCGGGUCCUUAUUUGCUAAUAAGGGUUCGUUCUUGUUUCAUUGGAAACUCUUCAAACUCAAACCAACAAACACCUUUGCUUCCUAACCAUUUAUCUUUUAAAAUUCAAAGGCUGAAUUUGUAUUAAAUUGACACUACCUAAUUUUGAUGAGGAAUUAUUUAUGACUCGUUACAUCUUUCAAAAUGAGCUCGUAUCAAGAGGGUUACGCGCGAACCAAGAUCAAGUUAUCAAGUCACGAGAAAAUUCCUACGAGGCUCUAGACGGUCAGAUCUGAAACGAAACAAAGAAUUGAAGUUAGAUUCGAUUAGAUCUAAAAUAAAAACCAAUAAUGAACAGCAAGAAUCAAAAACACCCUUAGAGACGGCUAUUCUUGGAAACCAAGAAUCGAUUUGAACUUAGGAAGUAAUUCCCCAACAGCUGAUCCUAUCAAUUACUAAAGAAAAAAAAUUAGAAUUCAAAUCAAAGAAAACAAUCAGAUUUUAAAUAGAAAAUUAGGGAUUUGGGUCGGCAAAAAGAAAAGAAAAAAAUUUAGGAAUUAAAACGGUUCUUGAAACCCAAGGAGAUGUUGAUUUGCCCAAAUCGAAACAGGAACUAAUUUUUUCCCAAAAAUUCCAGCAACCGAAUCAAUCAGAUUUGAAAAGAAGAAAUCGACAAGAACAAUGAAGUUUAGGGAUCUUGAACGAUCUUUGCUGCCAAUAACAAGGGGGGCGAUCCGAUCUUUUAUGAAGAAGGGGGCGAAUCAGAUCUUGGAUGUUUUGGAAAGUCUGAAACACAACAAGAACAACAAAUAAAUUAAUUAAAUAGAAAUCAACGCAAGCAGGUUUUAAAAAGAAAGAAUGACAGCAAGAAAUAAAUAUAAGUCCUAAGAAGUGAUACGGGGUUGCGCGCGGACCAAGAUCGAGUUACCAAGUCAUGGGAAACUCCUACGAAAACCCUAAACAAUUAGAUCCGAAACGAAACAGAAAAAUUAAAAGAUUAGAACUUUGAAUUUCCAUAUCUGAAAUAAAAUCCCCAAAUCAGCAAAGAAUCAAAUUGAGAAUAGAAAUAAGUGUUAGGGUUCUUGAAACCCUCAAGGAGAUUGUGAUUCUGCCCAAUUGAACACCAAGAUAGUUUUCCCCAAAUUUCGACAAUCUAAUUUCACCCAAAAAGAGUAUGGAAAAACCCUAGAAAUUGGGGAUUUUUGGGCUGAUUCCUUAAGAUAGAAAAAGGCUGAAAACACAAUAAGAACAGAAAAUAGAUUAGAUAAUGAUUCAACACAAGUAGAAAUAAAGAAAGAAUUGACAGUAAGAAAUUAAAAGAUAAGUCCUAAGAAGCCUUGAAAUCUCGAAAGAUCUCACAACUCCCUUCAAACGGCUCUAAUCUCCCCUCCAAAGAAUAUCAAUGGCAAGAAGAAGGUUGAAGAUGGCUCCCACAAUCACAAGAUUGUUAAAACAACUUCUAAAGAAAACUCAAGAGAAAAAUCUUGGAGAAAACUCAAAGAAAAUUCUGCUCUCAACAAAUCUGAAAUUUUAAUAAUAAUGAUAAGUGUUUAACAAGGUGGACAGCCAUGCCUUUAAAUAGGCCUUAUAACUAGUCCUAAUCUAAUUAGAAAACUAAAAUAAAAAAACUCCUAAUUAUUUUAAUAUGGAAAUUCGGUCAAAGGUCAUUUUAUUUGGGACUCUUGGAUUGAAUAUUGACAUAAAAAAUUAAACUAAGUAAAUAAAUAAAUAUAAAUAAAAAUAAAACUUUACAACUUGGGCCACUUUGACAAUUUGGCCUGAUUUUCAACUAAGUAUGGAUGGAUUUCUUGAUUGGGCUGGGAAUUUGCUUAUUGGGCCUCGCCUUCAAGAAUUUGGGCUUUUGUGACUCGUAUCAUUCCCCCCUUCCUCAAAAAGAUUCGUCCUCGAAUCUGAAAAAUCAAAUGAACUCGACUUUCCUCUAUCGAACGGGACUAAUGGCAAUUGAGUCCACUGAAAAGAAUAGCCAUGAGAUAGUAAAUAGCAACGGAAACAAGCUUGUAGUCCAAUCAUAAGCAUAACAGAACAGGUAUAACGCAUGUGAAUGGACAGAUUUAGAUUACCAUGCAAACAAUCUAAUUUACUCACCACUGCCUCGUCAAAUAUUUGAAACAAAGAUGGACAUGUUUUAAGGCAUUCAGUCGUCUCACAUUGUUCCCACAAACCAUGAAUAAAUUGCGAGUAAUAAAUCAAAUGGUAAACAUAAUCGUCACAAGUAGGUAUUUGAAAAGAUUCACAUGGUUCACAGAGUUGCAUAAUCAUACCAUGCAUUAAUCGACGGUCUAUAGAUUCACUCACACAUGCAUUAUCAAAAACAAGAAUCUUUUUAUCAACCAUCAAAACAGAUAGAUCAUCAAUAAAUAAAAUAGGACAGUCAAGCACGUUUCGAUCUAAGUGUUCAUCAACACGAUCUUUAUCACUAUCUGAGGAGUACAAAAGUGUUUCAAAGGUUUCAAGCAUCUUACCUCGAUAAGCAGAAGAAUAAGGGUCGAUUUUACCUUUUUCAUUUAAAACAAACCUUCGCUCAUCGGGGGCAUAGUGAUACGGGGUUGCGCACGGACCAAGAUCGAGUUGCCAAGUCACGAGAAACUCCUACGAAAACCCUAAACAAUUAGAUCUGAAACGAAACAGAAAAUUAAAAGAUUAGAUUUUUGAAUUUUUAGAUUUGAAAUAAAAUCCCCAAAACAGUAAAGAAUCAAAUAGAGAAUAGAAAUAAGUGUUAAUAAGGAAUCUUGAAACCCUAGAAGAGAUUGCGAUUCUGCCCAAUUGAACACCCAGAUAGUUUUCCCCAAAUUUCGACAAUCUAAUUUCUCCCAAAAAGAGUAUGGAUGAAUCAGCAAGGACCCUAAAAAUUGGGGAUUUUUGGGCUAAUUCCUUAAGAUAGAAAAAGGCUAAAAACACAAUAAGAACAGAAAAUAAAUUAGAUAAAGAUUCGGCACAAGCAGAAAUAAAGAAAGAAUUGACAGUAAGAAAUUAAAAGAUAAGUCCUAAGAAGCCUUGAAAUCCCGAAAGAUCUCACAACUCCCUUCAAACGGCUCUAAUCUCCCCUCCAAAGAAUAUCAAUGGCAAGAAGAAGGUUGAAGAUGGCUCCCACAAUCACAAGAUUGUUAAAACAACUUCUAAAGAAAACUCAAGAGAAAAAUCUUGGAGAAAACUCAAAGAAAAUUCUGCUCUCAACAAAUCUGAAAUUUUAAUAAUAAUGAUAAGUGUUUAACAAGGUGGACAGCCAUGCCUUUAAAUAGGCCUUAUAACUAGUCCUAAUCUAAUUAGAAAACUAAAAUAAAAAAAACUCCUAAUUAUUUUAAUAUGGAAAUUCGGUCAAAGGUCAUUUUAUCUGGGACUCUUGGACUGAAUAUUGACAUAAAAAUUUAAACUAAGUAAAUAAAAAAUAAAAAUAAAAAUAAAACUUUACAACUUGGGCCACUUUGACAAUUUGGCCUGAUUUUCAACUAAGUAUGGAUGGAUUUCUUGAUUGGGCUGGGAAUUUUCUUAUUGGGCCUUGCCCUCAAGAAUUUGGGCUUGUGAUCCAUCUCCUACCGAAAUUGAAUCGUUGAUGCUCGUAAUGGAGAUCCAAUGCGCUUUGGCUGCAAGAUUUGGUGUCUUGGACCAAGAUUCCCAAUAUUUGAAAUCUUAAUUUUCCCUUUCUUUUGUGUACGCAUCUAAGGCCUUACUAACAAACUCCUGGAUGGUCCCAUUUAGUUUGGAACGCAUUUGUCGGGCCUUUGAUCUCGUAUCAUUCCCCCCUUCCUCAAAAAGAUUCGUCCUCGAAUCUGAAAAAUCAAAUGGGGACAAGUCAGCCACAUUAAAAGUAGAACUUACAUUGUACUCACCAGGUAGAUCAAUUUUAUAGGCAUUAUCGUUGAUCCUCUCGAGUACUUGGAAAGGCCCAUCGCCCCUUGGGUCCAACUUGGUCUUUCUUCUUGCAGGAAAUUGUUCUUUCCUCAUAUGGACCCAAACCCAAUCUCCGGGUUCUAGGACAACCCGUUUGCGCCCCUUGUUUGCUUUGUUGGUGUUGGCAUCAUAUGUUUUGGCUAUUCGUUGCCUAGCCUGCUCAUGUAAGGAUUUCACCAACUCAGCUUUCUGUUCACCAUCUAAAUUAACAAUGUGUUCAAGUGGUAAUGGCGCAAGAUCAAGUACUGUUAGUGGGUUAAAACCAUAAACAAGUUCAAAUGGAGAAUAACCAGUUGUAGAAUGAAUAGAUCUAUUAUAUGCAAAUUCAACAAACGGUAGGCAUUCUUCCCAAUUUCUAAUGUUCUUUCCCACAACAGAUCGUAAUAAAGUCCCUAAGAUCCGAUUAACUACUUCGGUUUGGCCAUCAGUUUGGGGGUGACAUGUAGUGGAAUAAAGUAAUUUAGUACCAAGCUUACCCUACAAUACCUUCCAAAAGUGGCUAAGAAAUUUGACAUCUCUGUCAGAAACAAUUGUUUUAGGGAUGCCAUGAAGUCUUACCACCUCUUUAAAGAAUAAGUCUGCUACAUGUGUAGCAUCAUCUGUUUUGUGACAAGAAAUAAAAUGUGCCAUCUUUGAGAACCUGUCAACAACAACAAAUAUACUAUCUCUUCCUUUCUUAUUUCGAGGCAAACCUAGAAUAAAGUCCAUGGAUAAAUCUACCCAAGGUGAAGUAGGAAUCGGUAAAGGAGUGUAAAGGCCAUGAGGCAUUACCUUAGAUUUUCCUUGUUUGCAUGUAAUGCACUUGGAACAUACCUUUUCGACAUCCUUUUUCAUUUGUGGCCAAUGGAAGUGUUCUUGCAAGAUAUCUAGUGUUUUGGCCACUCCAAAAUGUCCCAUUAAACCUCCACUAUGGGCCUCAUGAAUCAAUAAGUCUCUCAUGGAACACUUUGGUAUGCAUAACCUGUUCAUACGAAAAAGAAAGCCAUCUACAAGAUAAAAUUUAUCGAAAGCAGUAUGUCCACAAUUCUUAUAGAUAUGGCCGAAAUCAGCAUCAUCAUCAUAUAGUUCCUUAAUAUGUUCGAACCCUAAGACUUUAGCAUUUAAUGUAGUUAUUAAAGUAUAUCGUCUAGACAAAGCAUCUGCAACUACAUUAUCUUUACCUGUUUUAUAUUGUAUCACAUAAGGGAAUGUUUCAAUGAAUUCUACCCAUCGAACAUGUCUUUUACUCAACUUACCUUGUCCCUUUAACCAUUUAAGAGAUUCGUGAUCUGUGUGUAUGACAAACUCAUUAGGCAGCAAAUAAUGUUGCCAUACUUGAAGUGCACGAACUAAUGCUAAUAGUUCUUUGUCAUAAGUCGAGUAGUUUAACUGUGCACCAUUCAAUUUCUCACUAAAAUAAGCAAUAGGUUGCUUAUCUUGCAUUAAAACAGUGCCAAUUCCAAUUCCUGAAGCAUCACACUCAAGUUCAAAAGUUUUAGCAAAAUCAGGUAAUUUAAGCAAAGGAGCAGAACAUAACUUAGCUUUUAGAGUUUGAAAAGCUUUUUCUUGGGUGUCACCCAAUUUGAAACCCACUGAUUUCUUUAUAACUUCAGUCAAUGGGGCAGCAAUAGUAGAGAAAUCUUUCACAAAUCGUCUAUAAAAACUGGCUAAACCAUGGAAAGAUCUCACCUCAGUUACCGAUUUAGGAGUCGGCCACUCCUUAAUUGCCAAAUGAUACGGGGUUGCGCGCGGACCAAGAUCGAGUUGCCAAGUCACGAGAAACUCGUACGAAAACCCUAAACAAUUAGAUCUGAAACGAAAACAAAAAAUUAAAAGAUUAGAUUUUUGAAUUUUCAGAUCUGAAAUAAAAUCCCCAAAACAGUAAAGAAUCAAAUAGAGAAUAGAAAUAAGUGUUAGGGUUCUUGAAACCCUCAAGGAGAUUGUGAUUCUGCCCAAUUGAACACCAAGAUAGUUUUCCCCAAAUUUCGACAAUCUAAUUUCACCCAAAAAGAGUAUAGAAAAACCCUAGAAAUUGGGGAUUUUUGGGCUGAUUCCUUAAGAUAGAAAAAGGCUGAAAACACAAUAAGAACAGAAAAUAGAUUAGAUAAUGAUUCAGCACAAGUAGAAAUAAAGAAAGAAUUGACAGCAAGAAAUUAAAAGAUAAGUCCUAAGAAGCCUUGAAAUCUCGAAAGAUCUCACAACUCCCUUCAAACGGCUCUAAUCUCCCCUCCAAAGAAUAUCAAUGGCAAGAAGAAGGUUGAAGAUGGCUCCCACAAUCAAAAGAUUGUUAAAACAACUUCUAAAGAAAACUCAAGAGAGAAAUCUUGGAGAAAACUCAAAGAAAAUUCUGCUCUCAACAAAUCUGAAAUUUUAAUAAUAAUGAUAAGUGUUUAACAAGGUGGACAGCCAUGCCUUUAAAUAGGCCUUAUAACUAAUCCUAAUCUAAUUAGAAAACUAAAAAAAAAACUCCUAAUUAUUUUAAUAUGGAAAUUCGGUCAAAGGUCAUUUUAUCUGUGACUCUUGGACUGAAUAUUGACAUAAAAAUUUAAACUAAGUAAAUAAAUAAAUAAAAAUAAAAAUAAAACUUUACAACUUGGGCCACUUUGACAAUUUGGCCUGAUUUUCAACUAAGUAUGGAUGGAUUUCUUGAUUGGGCUGGGAAUUUGCUUAUUGGGCCUUGCCUUCAAGAAUUUGGGCUUUUGUGACUCGUAUCAUUCCCCCCUUCCUCAAAAAGAUUCAUCCUCGAAUCUGAAAAAUCAAAUGAACUCAACUUUCCUCUAUCGAACGGGACUAAUGGCAAUUGAGUCCACUGAAAAGAAUAGCCAUGAGAUAGUAAAUAGCAACGGAAACAAGCUUGUAGUCCAAUCAUAAGCAUAACAGAACAGGUAUAACGCAUGUGAAUGGACAGAUUUAGAUUACCAUGCAAACAAUCUAAUUUACUCACCACUGCCUCGUCAAAUAUUUGAAACAAAGAUGGAAAUGUUUUAAGGCAUUCAGUCGUCUCACAUUGUUCCCACAAACCAUGAAUAAAUUGCGAGUAAUAAAUCAAAUGGUAAACAUAAUCGUCACAAGUAGGUAUUUGAAAAGAUUCACAUGGUUCACAGAGUUGCAUAAUCAUACCAUGCAUUAAUCGACGGUCUAUAGAUUCACUCACACAUGCAUUAUCAAAAACAAGAAUCUUUUUAUCAACCAUCAAAACAGAUAGAUCAUCAAUAAAUAAAAUAGGACAGUCAAGCACGUUUCGAUCUAAGUGUUC
rnacentral:lncRNA from 1 species